CCUACGGGAGGCAGCAGUGGGGAAUUUUGGACAAUGGGCGCAAGCCUGAUCCAGCAAUGCCGCGUGCAGGAUGAAGGCCUUCGGGUUGUAAACUGCUUUUGUACGGAACGAAACGGUGAGCUCUAAUACAGUUUGCUAAUGACGGUACCGUAAGAAUAAGCACCGGCUAACUACGUGCCAGCAGCCGCGGUAAUACGUAGGGUGCGAGCGUUAAUCGGAAUUACUGGGCGUAAAGCGUGCGCAGGCGGUGAUGUAAGACAGAUGUGAAAUGCCCGGGCUCAACCUGGGACCUGCAUUUGUGACUGCAUCGCUAGAGUACGGUAGAGGGGGAUGGAAUUCCGCGUGUAGCAGUGAAAUGCGUAGAUAUGCGGAGGAACACCGAUGGCGAAGGCAAUCCCCUGGACCUGUACUGACGCUCAUGCACGAAAGCGUGGGGAGCAAACAGGAUUAGAUACCCUGGUAGUCCACGCCCUAAACGAUGUCAACUGGUUGUUGGGUCUUCACUGACUCAGUAACGAAGCUAACGCGNGAGUAGACGCCGNGGAGGUACGGCCGCGAGUAGUAAACGUUAAAGUAGAAGUAGUAGGACGNGAGAGNGCGACGGACGACACGAGGGAGGUAGGG
rnacentral:rRNA from 1 species